rnacentral:snRNA from 1 species
AUGCUCACUUCAGCACCACAUACACUAAAAUUGUAAUGAUCCAGAAAAGAUUAGCAUGGCUCCUACGCAAGAAUGGCAUGCGAAUUCAUGAAGAAUCUAUACUUAGA